AUUUGCCAGACAACAGGUUUACACUUACACGUCCUCUCUCUCCAUUUUGUCCCGCUUGACUCUGUUCUUCGUUCCCUCUCGUGCCUGCACGUGGCCAGAGCCAGAGCAGAAAUUAUUGCACGUGCAGUAAUAAAUAUAGGGUUUCUUCGUAAAAUGGAUACUCACUCCUUAAAUAUAUGAAUUUAAUGGGAAUUUAGUAUGGAAAAUGGGAUUGAGAGACAUUGAUUUUGAACAGGGUGUGGAAUUGGUGCAAAAUGACUACUUUAUUACAGAGGAAAACGUGGGGAUGCUGAAGUUGGCAAAGGAAACCAAUUCAAUCCUGUUUGAUUACAGGGUCCCCUUGGAGACCUGCAGCGCUGGCGCUGCGGCCGCCAUGGAUAGUACUUUGAAAAUGAACGGCCUCCCAAUCAGUGUAUAUGCGCCGGAGACUGUCGGUUGUGUGGCCGUGGACAGCGAG
rnacentral:misc_RNA from 1 species